rnacentral:rRNA from 1 species
AUUGAACGCUGGCGGCAGGCCUAACACAUGCAAGUCGAACGGUAGCACAGAGAGCUUGCUCUCGGGUGACGAGUGGCGGACGGGUGAGUAACGUCUGGGAAACUGCCCGCUGGCGGGGGAUAACUACUGGAAACGGUAGCUAAUACCGCAUAACGUCGCCAGACCAAAGAGGGGGACCUUCGGGCCUCACACCAUCGGAUGUGCCCGGAUGGGAUUAGCUCGUAGGUGGGGUAAUGGCUCACCUUGGCGACGAUCCCUAUCUGGUCUGAGAGGAUAACCAGCCACACUGGAACUGAGACACGGUCCAGACUCCUACGGGAGGCAGCAGUGGGGAAUAUUGCACAAUGGGCGCAAGCCUGAUGCAGCCAUGCCGCGUGUAUGAAGAAGGCCUUCGGGUUGUAAAGUACUUUCAGCGGGGAGGAAGGCGGUGAAGUUAAUAGCUUCACCGAUUGACGUUACCCGCAGAAGAAGCACCGGCUAACUCCGUGCCAGCCGCCGCAGUAA